rnacentral:tRNA from 1 species
GAGAAAGCCAUAGGGGCUAUGGGGCUGGCUUGAAACCGGUCUUUGGGGGUUCGAUUCCUUCCUUUCUCG